rnacentral:rRNA from 1 species
UACGGGGGGGGCAAGCGUUGUUCGGAAUUACUGGGCGUAAAGCGCGCGUAGGCGGCUUGUCACGUCGGGUGUGAAAGCCCGGGGCUUAACCCCGGGUCUGCAUUCGAUACGGGCUAGCUAGAGUGUGGUAGGGGAGAUCGGAAUUCCUGGUGUAGCGGUGAAAUGCGCAGAUAUCAGGAGGAACACCGGUGGCGAAGGCGGAUCUCUGGGCCAUUACUGACGCUGAGGAGCGAAAGCGUGGGGAGCGAACAGG